GGAGCUAUAGCUCAAUGGUCGUAGAGCAUCCGCAAAGAAUGCAGGAGGACCUGGGUUCGAUUCCCAGUGGCUUCA